UCUGCCUCAAACCCUAGCCCCCUCUUGCGCGAAACGUGUGUUUGCGGCAGCGCACAGCCACUUCAAGCGCUUCAACAGCCAGGCACCGGCGCUGGAUUAGACGGCGCCCCCAAGGCGCCAUUUGGCACUGGCGUCGUGGCGGACUUCAAGACACGUAAUCAACGUUUCCCGCCUUUCGUCUCGGUCGUGUUGUGCGGACUCCCCUCGGCGCACGGUUCAAUCCGUUCGAGUGUUGGUUUUCGUCGACAUAUUGUUCAGACAAGAGACUGCGACGACAUUUGACGAUCUUCAGGACAGGACUUGCUGGGAAUUUUACCGCAGGAAGAAACCAGCAUUGCAGAAAAACUCCCUGAACUGUCACACACCCCUACUAUCAUUGCACUUGGGGCAUCUAUCAUGUUAGUAUAUUGUGCAAACAUUCAGUUCUCUGUUGGGAACCAUAGGCCAUCUGCAGUGACACAAGUUUUAUUCAGCCAUAUGACAAAACUGCACUUGGCUUGAAACCCAAUUCACAUUUUGUGAUCAGGUGCUUUGGAUGCAGGAAGCAUUUUCAAGAAGGAAUGCUUUGUGGCCUGCGAACAGCAGCUUCUUUUAACGAGGCUGUGGACUUUCCAGAGGUUACCAGUCUUUUACUUCUGAGCUACUACAUUUUCAACUUAGCUUAUGCAGACCCUGUCACGACAACACUGGAAUUUCUUCAGAGGGAGAUGUUUAACGUAAACUCGGAAAGGGGCAGUAAAUUGUCUAAGGGCUGCAAAUCAAGGACCACUGUGAACAACAGGAUAAUGAAGUUAGUGCAGCAGUUGCGCUGAAGAACUGAUGUUGUAAACCAUAAAACAUGGUGCGAUUGGCAAAAUAAAUUCCACCUGUGUAUGUUCAGA